rnacentral:rRNA from 1 species
AGCGAACGCUGGCGGCAGGCCUAACACAUGCAAGUCGAACGAACUCUUCGGAGUUAGUGGCGGACGGGUGAGUAACACGUGGGAACGUGCCUUUUGGUUCGGAAUAACUCAGGGAAAGUUGUGCUAAUACCGAAUGUGCCCUUCGGGGGAAAGAUUUAUCGCCAUUAGAGCGGCCCGCGUCUGAUUAGCUAGUUGGUGAGGUAACGGCUCACCAAGGCGACGAUCAGUAGCUGGUCGGAGAGGAUGACCAGCCACACUGGGACUGAGACACGGCCCAGACUCCUACGGGAGGCAGCAGUGGGGAAUCUUGCGCAAUGGGCGGAAGCCUGACGCAGCCAUGCCGCGUGAAUGAUGAAGGUCUUAGGAUUGUAAAAUUCUUUCACCGGGGACGAUAAUGACGGUACCCGGAGAAGAAGCCCCGGCUAACUUCGUG